rnacentral:rRNA from 1 species
UCUGGCUCAGGAUGAACGCUAGCGACAGGCCUAACACAUGCAAGUCGAGGGGCAGCGGGGAGGUAGCAAUACCUUUGCCGGCGACCGGCGCACGGGUGAGUAACACGUAUGCAAUCCACCUGUAACAGGGGGAUAACCCGGAGAAAUCCGGACUAAUACCCCAUAAUAUGGGCGCUCCGCAUGGAGAGUCCAUUAAAGAGAGCAAUCUUGGUUACAGACGAGCAUGCGCUCCACUAGCCAGUUGGCGGGGUAACGGCCCACCAAGGCGACGAUGGAUAGGGGUUCUGAGAGGAAGGUCCCCCACAUUGGAACUGAGACACGGUCCAAACUCCUACGGGAGGCAGCAGUGAGGAAUAUUGGUCAAUGGUCGGCAGACUGAACCAGCCAAGUCGCGUGAGGGAAGACGGCCCUACGGGUUGUGAACCUCUUUUGUCGGAGAGUAAAGUGCGCUACGCGUAGCGUAUUGCAAGUAUCCGAAGAAAAAGCAUCGGCUAACUCCGUGCCAGCAGCCGCGGUAAUACGGAGGAUGCGAGCGUUAUCCGGAUUUAUUGGGUUUAAAGGGUGCGUAGGCGGCACGCCAAGUCAGCGGUGAAAUUUCCGGGCUCAACCCGGACUGUGCCGUUGAAACUGGCAAGCUAGAGUGCACAAGAGGCAGGCGGAAUGCGUGGUGUAGCGGUGAAAUGCAUAGAUAUCACGCAGAACCCCGAUUGCGAAGGCAGCCUGCUAGGGUGCGACAGACGCUGAGGCACGAAAGCGUGGGUAUCGAACAGGAUUAGAUACCCUGGUAGUCCACGCAGUAAACGAUGAAUACUAACUGUUUGCGAUACAAUGUAAGCGGUACAGCGAAAGCGUUAAGUAUUCCACCUGGGGAGUACGCCGGC